AAUUAGUAUUUGCUUCACUUUUGAGUUUCAUCCAAAUAUUUUCUUUGUGAAGGACCAUAGAAUGGAAGGUUACUGUGGCAUGACUUGAAGAAAGGCGAUUUCUAUCAUCUAAUGGCAACUCCAAAGUCCUUUCACUUAUCAUCUAAGUCUUGUCAUCCAUCAAUAUGAUUCAAGCAUUUGAAAUGAUGGCAAUUGCUGUGGUAGGGAACAACCUCAUAUGUUUGUCUUUUCAGCUUUCAGACUUUUACUGCAUGUCUGUCUUCAAUUAGUUGGGUUUCUGGUGGUGCUAUGUAGCUUAUAAUUUUCUACUAUCAUUUCGAAUUAUCUGCCAUAGUGUUCUUGCACCUGCAAGUUAUGACAAAAAUCUGGAUUGCA